rnacentral:rRNA from 1 species
AGGAAGAGAAAUCAACCGAGAUUCCGCUAGUAGUGGCGAGCGAACGCGGAAGAGGCCAAACCGGAGGUAGCAAUAUUUCCGGGGUUAGGACUGCAACAUGUAACUUUAAUCUUUAACUGAAUGCUUUGGGAAGAGCAGCAAUAUAGGGUGAUAGCCCCGUAAGUGAAAAGGAUUGAGUGCUAGCAGUAUCCAGAGUACCAGCGGACACGUGAAACCCGCUGGGAAGAUGGGGGGACCAUCCUCCAAGCCUAAAUACUACUCAGUGACCGAUAGUGGAGCAGUACCGUGAGGGAAAGGUGAAAAGUACCCCGGGAGGGGAGUGAAAAAGAACCUGAAACCUUGUGCCUACAAGCACCGAGAGCACGUUAAAGUGUGAUCGGGUACUUUUUGUAGAACGGUCCGGCGAGUUAAUAUUUGCAGCGAGGUUAAGGAACUGGAGUUCCGGAGCCGCAGCGAGAGCGAGUCUGAAAAGGGCGUAUGAAGUUGCAGGUAUUAGACCCGAAACCGGGUGACCUAUCCAUGAGCAGGCUGAAGCGGUGGUAAGACACCGUGGAGGGCCGCACCCACGUCUGUUGAAAAAGCCGGGGAUGACUUGUGGAUAGCGGAGAAAUUCCAAUCGAACUCGGAGAUAGCUGGUUCUCCCCGAAAUAGCUUUAGGGCUAGCGUUAUUUUAGAUUACCGGAGGUAAAGCACUGAAUGGUCUAGGGGCCGCGAGGUUACCAAAGCCUAUCAAACUCUGAAUGCCGGAUAAUUGAUGAAUAGCAGUCAGACUGUGUGAGAUAAGUCUCAUAGUCAAAAGGGAAACAGCCCAGAUCUACAGCUAAGGUCCCAAAUGAACACUAAGUGGAAAAUGAUGUGAAACUGCGAAGACAACCAGGAUGUUGGCUUAGAAGCAGCCACUCAUUCAAAGAGUGCGUAAUAGCUCACUGGUCGAGUGGUUUUGCGCAGAAAAUGUAACGGGGCUAAGUGUUCAACCGAAGCUUAGGCAUUGCAGUAAUGCAUUGGGUAGGGGAGCGUCGUAUGCGGGGCGAAGUCAGAGCGGAAGCACUGGUGGACUGCAUACGAGUGAGAAUGCCGGAAUAAGUAGCGAGAAUUAUGUGAGAAUCAUAAUGGCCGAAAAUCUAAGGUUUCUUGGGGAAGGUUCGUCCGCCCAAGGUUAGUCGGGAGCUAAGCUCAGGCCGAAAGGCGUAGGCGAUGCACAUACGGUAGAAAUUCCGUAACCACCGAACAUUUAAGCUAGAGGGACGCUUUCUUUAAGGUUAUCCCGGGCGAUGGUUGCCCCGGGCGUAAGGGACCGAAAUAUAGUAGGGAAGUAACUGGCGAGAGAGACGAGAAAAGCUCUAGUGUAUACUAAGGUGCCCGUACCGCAAACCGACACAGGUAGAUGGGAUGAGUAUUCUAAGGCCAACGGGAGAAGGGUUGUUAAGGAACUCGGCAAAUUGGCCCCGUAACUUCGGGAUAAGGGGCGCCUGCGAGAGCAGGCCGCAGUGAAAAGGCCCAAGCGACUGUUUAGCAAAAACACAGCUCUCUGCUAAAUCGAAAGAUGACGUAUAGGGGGUGACGCCUGCCCGGUGCUGGAAGGUUAAGGGGAGUGCUUAGCGCAAGCGAAGGUGCGAACUUAAGCCCCAGUAAACGGCGGCCGUAACUAUAACGGUCCUAAGGUAGCGAAAUUCCUUGUCAGGUAAGUUCUGACCCGCACGAAUGGCGUAACGAUUUGGGCACUGUCUCAACAGCCCGCCCGGCGAAAUUGUAGUACCGGUGAAGAUGCCGGUUUCCCGCAACUAGACGGAAAGACCCCAUGGAGCUUCACUGUAGCUUGAUAUUGGAUCUCGGUAUUCCAUGUACAGGAUAGGUGGGAGACUUGGAAGUAAGCGCGCCAGCGUUUAUGGAGUCAACCUUGGGAUACCACUCUUGGGAUAUUGGGAUUCUAACCUGCGACCAUGAAUCUGGUCGGGGGACACUGUCAGGUGGGCAGUUUGACUGGGGCGGUCGCCUCCAAAAGAGUAACGGAGGCGCUCAAAGGUUCGUUCAGCACGGAUGGAAAUCGUGCACUGAGUGUAAACGCAUAAACGAGCCUAACUGCGAGAAUGACGGUUCGAGCAGUAACGAAAGUUGGAGUUAGUGAUCCGGCGGUAUGUGAAUGGAAAUGCCGUCGCUCAACGGAUAAAAGCUACCCUGGGGAUAACAGGCUGAUCUCCCCCAA